AUGCAAGUCGAGCGAACGGACGAGAAGCUUGCUUCUCUGAUGUUAGCGGCGGACGGGUGAGUAACACGUGGAUAACCUACCUAUAAGACUGGGAUAACUUCGGGAAACCGGAGCUAAUACCGGAUAAUAUUUUGAACCGCAUGAUUCAAAAGUGAAAGACGGUCUUGCUGUCACUUAUAGAUGGAUCCGCGCUGCAUUAGCUAGUUGGUAAGGUAACGGCUUACCAAGGCAACGAUGCAUAGCCGACCUGAGAGGGUGAUCGGCCACACUGGAACUGAGACACGGUCCAGACUCCUACGGGAGGCAGCAGUAGGGAAUCUUCCGCAAUGGGCGAAAGCCUGACGGAGCAACGCCGCGUGAGUGAUGAAGGUCUUCGGAUCGUAAAACUCUGUUAUUAGGGAAGAACAUAUGUGUAAGUAACUGUGCACAUCUUGACGGUACCUAAUCAGAAAGCCACGGCUAACUACGUGCCAGCAGCCGCGGUAAUACGUAGGUGGCAAGCGUUAUCCGGAAUUAUUGGGCGUAAAGCGCGCGUAGGCGGUUUUUUAAGUCUGAUGUGAAAGCCCACGGCUCAACCGUGGAGGGUCAUUGGAAACUGGAAAACUUGAGUGCAGAAGAGGAAAGUGGAAUUCCAUGUGUAGCGGUGAAAUGCGCAGAGAUAUGGAGGAACACCAGUGGCGAAGGCGACUUUCUGGUCUGUA
rnacentral:rRNA from 1 species